rnacentral:rRNA from 1 species
CCCCAUAAUAUUGUUGAAUUGCAUCAUUCGACAUUGAAAACUCCGGUGGAUAGAGAUGGGCACGCGCAAGAUUAGAUAGUUGGUGAGUAACGGCUCACCAAGUCUACGAUCUUUAGGGGGCCUGAGAGGUGAUCCCCCACACUGGUACUGAGACACGGACCAGACUCCUACGGGAGGCAGCAGUGAGGAAUAUUGGACAAUGGGUGAGAGCCUGAUCCAGCCAUCCCGCGUGAAGGACGACUGCCCUAUGGGUUGUAAACUUCUUUUGUAUAGGGAUAAACCUACCCUCGUGAGGGUUAGCUUGAAGGGUUACUUAUUACGGAAUAAGCACCGGGCUAAACUCCCGGUUGGGCCCAAGGGCCAAAAGGGGCCCCCCCCCGGGGGGCCCGGGGGGAUUUUAUAAAAAAAAAAAAAAAUUACGGAGGGUGCAAGCGUUAUCCGGGAUUUAUUGGGUUUAAAGGGUCCGUAGGCGGAUCUGUAAAGUCAGUGGUGAAAUCUCACAGUUAACUGUGAAAACUGGCAUUGAUACUGCAGGUCUUGAGUGUUGUUGAAGUAGCUGGAAUAAGGUAGUGUACGGUGAAAUGCAUAGAUUUACUUUAA